rnacentral:rRNA from 1 species
GCUUACGGCCAUACCACCCUGAACACGCCCGAUCUCGUCUGAUCUCGGAAGCUAAGCAGGGUCGGACCUGGUCAGUACUUGGAUGGGAGACCGCCUGGGAAUACCAGGUGCUGUAAGCU